rnacentral:misc_RNA from 1 species
CUGGAGCAGCUGCCACAGCGC